rnacentral:lncRNA from 12 species
GCCACCCAGGCUCAUCCCUUCUUUCCUGAAAAGAAGCAAGAAGAUAAAACUUUAAGACAUACAAAGAGUCCAAUAUCUAAAAAACUAAAGGAUGCAAGACUACCUACAAUAGCUGAAGCUGAGGAGGAAGAUGAGGUCCAUUCAUUCAGCAUCUCACAAACGCCUAGGGUUGCCAAGUUUUCUCCUAAACUUCAAGUCUCCAAAAUAUACCUGAAAAAGAAUCUACUUGAAUAUAAACUCCUUGCUUCUGAAAUACUGCAUGAACUUGGAGAGAUAUUGCAGAAAUAUGCAGAGUGUAACCGUAUAUACCCUGCAGGAAUUGUAAAUCUUAUGAAUUACAGUUGGCAUGAUCUUAUUGAAGGUGCUUAUGAGUGUGCAACCAAAAAUUCAAUCAAAAACAGUGCCUUGCAAGGAGAUCCCAAAGCGACCCAAAUCAGCAGCUAUUCAAGGGAGGAAUAUCAUAAGGAAAAUCAUCUUGUGAAAGUAAAGAAAGACCACCAUGUUCCAUCUGGUAAGUAGAAGUUAUUAGUUAGUUUUAUAAAUAAUCAUCCAGGUUUUUUAAAAAAAGAAUAAAAACAACAAGUGAGUGAGAUAUUGCCA